GUGUCAGCAGCCGCGGUAAUACGAAGGGGGCUAGCGUUGUUCGGAAUUACUGGGCGUAAAGGGCGUGUAGGCGGCUUGCAAAGUCGGGCGUGAAAGCCCCGGGCUCAACCCGGGAAUUGCGUUCGAUACUGGCGAGCUAGAGUUCGGGAGAGGGUCGUGGAAUUCCCAGUGUAGAGGUGAAAUUCGUAGAUAUUGGGAAGAACACCAGUGGCGAAGGCGGCGACCUGGACCGAUACUGACGCUAAGGCGCGAAAGCGUGGGGAGCAAACAGGAUUAGAUACCCUGGUAGUCCACGCUGUAAACGAUGAGUGCUAGACGUUGGGGGACCUAGUUUCCCAGUGUCGCAGCUAACGCAUUAAGCACUCCGCCUGGGGAGUACGGCCGCAAGGUUAAA
rnacentral:rRNA from 1 species